rnacentral:rRNA from 1 species
GGUUUAAUUCGAAGCAACGCGAAGAACCUUACCAGGUCUUGACAUCCCGAUGCUAUUCCUAGAGAUAGGAAGUUUCUUCGGAACAUCGGUAACAGGUGGUGCAUGGUUGUCGUCAGCUCGUGUCGUGAGAUGUUGGGUUAAGUCCCGCAACGAGCGCAACCCCUAUUGUUAGUUGCCAUCAUUAAGUUGGGCACUCUAGCGAGACUGCCGGUAAUAAACCGGAGGAAGGUGGGGAUGACGUCAAAUCAUCAUGCCCCUUAUGACCUGGGCUACACACGUGCUACAAUGGUUGGUACAACGAGUCGCGAGUCGGUGACGGCAAGCAAAUCUCUUAAAGCCAAUCUCAGUUCGGAUUGUAGGCUGCAACUCGCCUACAUGAAGUCGGAAUCGCUAGUAAUCGCGGAUCAGCACGCCGCGGUGAAUACGU